AGGAACUGGCUCCAUCUGAUGGGCAGAGCUUUCUGCAGGUGGGUGUAGCCAGGCAUGAUAACAUCAAUUUCUCUGCAUAUGGAAAGAGAGGAAGAGGUGAGCAGCAACUGUUUGCAGAGAGAGCUGUGACAGGUAAACUCUCAGGUCUCCUGGCAAGGUCAUGAAAGCAUCUUUAGCCUGUGUUGUGCUAUGCCUUCCUCUUCUUAUAUCCCCAUAAUAUAUUAGGGGAAGAGGAAUGUCUCCCUGAAGCAGACUGUGAAGAAAGAGGGCCCGUUGUCUUUCCCUGUGCUGUCACAUACUGUCUCACUUCAACAUCCUCUGCAGAAGACCUUGCUGCUGCCCUGAUUGGUAUCAGUCAAAGAGAGGAGAGAGAAGUCUCCUGUCCCAGGAACGCUGAGACCGUGGACUUGGGAAAGGACUUACGUAGCAGCGCGCUCCACAAGGGUCUUAAUGAGCUGCAGCAGUGUGCAGCUUUCCAGCUAUAUCACCAAUCAGCUCCUGAG
rnacentral:lncRNA from 1 species